AAUUAAACUCUUAAAAGUCCACGUUGGACAUUUAAGGAGAAAACGUUAAGUUUAAUUUCGUGGCUUUCUUGUGAUCGUCUUGUUUGGCUUUUAUGUCUUCUUCUUCCCCAAAUCAAGCAACAUAAACCCUAAAUUGAUUCAAAAGACUAUUGGAGAGAAGAUACACCAUAAAAAAGGAGAUGUUGUUCUGGAGGUUGCACUACGUCAGAAGAUCUACAUCAAUCCUUCAAAAUUAAAACUCCUUGAAUGCUUGGGUUUUUCUAAGGACGAUAUGCAGUGGUUCACAGGGAAGGAAGAGGAGAGCCACAUUCACAUUGUACCCUUGUGGAUGCUUUCAAGUUUCAAACGACUGAAAAUUUAUCUAACUGAUACUGCGAUACACAGUUUCAAACGAGAUCAUUAGAGAAGCUGAAUGAGUUUGUGCAACAAGUGUCACCUGAAGUUAUUAUACCGAGUGUUAACUUUGGACAUGACUCUGUAACUGCAAUGGUGUUUACGCUGGUUACUUAAGUCUAUGUUUUAGCAUAGGUGAUUAAACUCACUGCUGCUCAAGUGCGUAACAAAAGGCUCGUGGGCUACCGACUGAGUAAAGUGAGUCAAAGAUCACCAAAAAAGUAGAUAUUUUCAAAUGUUCUAAUAUAAGGAAUAUGUAAACAAAUGAUAAUGAAUUGUUUUCCUCGCCAAACUCAAACCAACUAGUGUCAUGAGGUGUUUUUCUUAUAUCAAUUUUUUUUUUCUGAUCUCCAGGAGAACAAAUAUUGUAUUAGCUCUAUGUACAAUUACAGAGAUUGACACAUUUAUCAGGUUUGUAGUCUUCUUAACAAGAUAAUCUACAAUCAUUCUUCAAGUAUACAAACACAUUAGGGUCUGUAGUUGCAGAGAUAACAUCAAUAGUGAAGAACAUCAAUAUAUAAAGGUUUGAUGAUGA